UAUGUCACAGCCUCAGCUGGCAUAUUGUGGGUUAAUAGAAAAACCUUCAGAAUUUUGAAUACUUGCUUCAGGAAAUGCUCCGUGGAUCACUUGGUUUGAUCAUUGAAUAAAUUGUUUCUUACCUCACAGUACAGAAUAUUCCAAACCUGAGCCUUUCCCUGAAUCCAUGAAAGUAUCUGUGUUUGAUGAUGCUUGCAGAGGGCUUAGCGCCUGGACCAACCAAGAGGAGCAUCUCUGAUGAUCACAUGGCACAGGUGUUGCUGUCUACAUGCUGGAUUCCAAGGCCUGAAUGGUACUUCCAUCGGAGCGUCAGUUGUGCUGUGGGCUUGUUAUGAUUCAGACCUGCUACGGCUUUUUAAAGUUGCCUCCUUGUUCCCAAUAGGAAGUAGAGAACAUGAAUAAGGCCCCCAAUUCUGUUCA